UACGUAGGGUGCGAGCGUUGUCCGGAAUUAUUGGGCGUAAAGGGCUCGUAGGCGGUUUGUCGCGUCGGGAGUGAAAACACACAGCUUAACUGUGUGCUUGCUUCCGAUACGGGCAGACUAGAGGUAUGCAGGGGAGAACGGAAUUCCUGGUGUAGCGGUGAAAUGCGCAGAUAUCAGGAGGAACACCGGUGGCGAAGGCGGUUCUCUGGGCAUUACCUGACGCUGAGGAGCGAAAGUGUGGGGAGCGAACGGG
rnacentral:rRNA from 1 species